UAAACGACUCUCGGCAACGGAUAUCUCGGCUCUCGCAUCGAUGAAGAACGUAGCGAAAUGCGAUACUUGGUGUGAAUUGCAGAAUCCCGUGAACCAUCGAGUCUUUGAACGCAAGUUGCGCCCGAAGCCAUUAGGCCGAGGGCACGCCUGCCUGGGCGUCACACGUCGUUGCCCCCCCCAACCCCUUCGGUGGCUUGGACGGGACGGAUGAUGGCCUUCCCGCGUGCGCUGUCACGCGGUUGGCUCAAAUGCCGA
rnacentral:rRNA from 1 species